GAUGAACGCUAGCGGCAGGCUUAAUACAUGCAAGUCGUGGGGCAGCAUGAGUAGCAAUACUUGAUGGCGACCGGCAAACGGGUGAGGAACACGUACACAACCUUCCUUCAAGCGGGGAAUAGCCCAGAGAAAUUUGGAUUAAUACCCCAUAAUAUAUUUGAUAAGGCAUCUUAUUAAAUAUUAAAGCUUCGGCACUUGAUGAUGGGUGUGCGGCUGAUUAGAUAGUUGGCGGGGUAACGGCCCACCAAGUCUACGAUCAGUAGCUGAUGUGAGAGCAUGAUCAGCCACACGGGCACUGAGACACGGGCCCGACUCCUACGGGAGGCAGCAGUAAGGAAUAUUGGACAAUGGACGAAAGUCUGAUCCAGCCAUGCCGCGUGAAGGAUUAAGGUCCUCUGGAUGUAAACUCUUUAUAUGGGACGAAAAAAGGGACGAUUCUUAGUUCACUUGUACGGUACCAUAUGAAUAAGCACCGGCUAACU
rnacentral:rRNA from 1 species